UGUGUGCUAGAGCUGCUGGCUCAGGA
rnacentral:piRNA from 1 species